CUACGGGGGGCUGCAGUGGGGAAUAUUGCACAAUGGGGGAAACCCUGAUGCAGCCAUGCCGCGUGUGUGAAGAAGGCCUGCGGGUUGUAAAGCACUUUCAGUGGGGAGGAAAGCGAUAGCGUUAACAGCGCUAUCGAUUGACGUUAUCCGCAGAAGAAGCACCGGCUAACUCUGUGCCAGCAGCCGCGGUAAUACGGAGGGUGCAAGCGUUAAUCGGAAUUACUGGGCGUAAAGCGUAUGCAGGCGGUCUGUUAAGUCAGAUGUGAAAUCCCCGAGCUUAACUUGGGAACUGCAUUUGAAACUGGCAGGCUAGAGUCUCGUAGAGGGGGGUAGAAUUCCAGGUGUAGCGGUGAAAUGCGUAGAGAUCUGGAGGAAUACCGGUGGCUAAGGCGGCCCCCUGGACGAAAACUGACGCUCAGGUACGAAAGCGUGGGGAGCAAACAGGAUUAGAUACCCGUGUAGUC
rnacentral:rRNA from 1 species